CCAUAACUUUCUUUGAUUGUGCUCUCUCAUUUUUCCUGCUGGGCUGAGUACUGAUUCUUUUUGUAAUUUUAACUUUGUUGGUGGCAACAGAAAGAAGAGAGAAAGUCGAAGGAUGAGUCUUCAAAAUGUGACAUUGUUGGUUUUUAAGAUGCAGCACUGAUAUUAUAUGGAAGAUCCCUGUUUAUCAUAACAACAGUCUUCACUUGGUGUUUGUAUCCAGUACCGAGCCUUAUCUGCAACCCACAUCUCUUCUUAGAAUGCUCCUAUCGCUCACAGUUGAAAGGCACUGUGCAACUAUUUAAUCUGCACUUAUUAAUCCUGGUAAUAAAAGUGACAAAAGAAACCGUGGCAGGAUUACAAAAUAAAGAUGCUGUCUGGAUUUCCAACAAAAUUGAGGCACUGUGAUGGUGACUGAAGGCCUCAUCUGGAAGCAAGCUUGCUAUGUGGAAUCGUUGAGGAACAAAAAGGGAAAGCAGUGGGGAACAGGCUGGUCCUGUGCCAUGACUGGAGCCUGCUGAAACACAGGGAGUGAGCGGAAGACUGCCUAGACAGCAAUGCCAAUGAUAAAGAACAGUAGGAAUCAUUAUCCAAGGUCAUCUGGUUGGUUCCCAUCCUUAAAAGCAUGUCUGGGGAUUAGGGGUAUUUCUUUUGUACUUUGCUCAUAAAAUGAUAAAGCCUUCACGCAUUUGACAUUUGUGUGAUGCACACCAAAAAGAAAAGAAAAAACAAUUCAGACCAAGUAGAGUUCACCUAGUUUCAUACACAACCAGAAAAGGUAUUUCAUUCUAUAUGUUAUCUAGCUGUUAAAAGCAUAGAUUGGUUCACAGGGGUGGCAGGCUGAAUUGGCCACUGUGUAAAGGGCUCACCCCAAGCCUUAGCAACACUAACAAAUGUUCUGGAAUUUCCCCAAAGUUUAGGCUGUUGUUGAAAUAACCAAAAAGCACAAGUCAGCUGCAGGGGACUCCCUGGUUGGAAGAAAUGAGUAAACACAGCUGGUGUAACAGGCAUGGCUUGAAUAAUAAAAUCUGAUUUGGAAGUCUCAAGAUUGAAAC